GACGAACGCUGGCGGCGUGCCUAAUACAUGCAAGUAGAACGCUGAAGAGAGGAGCUUGCUCUUCUUGGAUGAGUUGCGAACGGGUGAGUAACGCGUAGGUAACCUGCCUGGUAGCGGGGGAUAACUAUUGGAAACGAUAGCUAAUACCGCAUAAAAUGGAUUAUCGCAUGAUAAUCCAUUGAAAGGUGCAAAUGCAUCACUACCAGAUGGACCUGCGUUGUAUUAGCUAGUUGGUGGGGUAACGGCUCACCAAGGCGACGAUACAUAGCCGACCUGAGAGGGUGAUCGGCCACACUGGGACUGAGACACGGCCCAGACGCCUACGGGAGGCAGCAGGAGGGAAUCUUCGGCAAUGGACGGAAGUCUGACCGAGCAACGCCGCGGGAGGGAAGAAGGUUUUCGGAUCGUAAAGCUCUGUUGUAAGAGAAGAACGAGUGUGAGAGUGGAAAGUUCACACUGUGACGGUAUCUUACCAGAAAGGGACGGCUAACUACGUG
rnacentral:rRNA from 1 species